rnacentral:rRNA from 1 species
UACAGAGGUCUCAAGCGUUGUUCGGAUUCAUUGGGCGUAAAGGGUGCGUAGGUGGCGAGGUAAGUUGGAUGUGAAAUCCCCAGGGCUCAACCCUGGAACUGCAUUCAAUACUGCCUUGCUAGAGUACUGGAGAGGAGAUUGGAAUUUACGGUGUAGCAGUGAAAUGCGUAGAUAUCGUAAGGAAGACCAGUGGCGAAGGCGGAUCUCUGGACAGUUACUGACACUGAGGCACGAAGGCCAGGGGAGCAAACGGG